rnacentral:rRNA from 1 species
CACAAGGGGUGAAGCCUGCGGUYNAAUUGGAGUCAACGCCGGAAAUCUUACCGGGGGCGACAGCAGAGUGAAGGUCAAGCUGAAGACUUUACCAGACAAGCUGAGAGGAGGUGCAUGGCCGUCGCCAGCUCGUGCCGUGAGGUGUCCUGUUAAGUCAGGUAACGAGCGAGAUCCCUAUCUCUAGUUGCUACUGCUGCUCUCAGGAGUAGUAGAGCUAAUUAGAGGGACCGCCGCCGCUGAGGCGGAGGAAGGAGGGGGCUACGGCAGGUCAGUAUGCCCCGAAACCCUCGGGCCACACGCGGGCUGCAAUGGUAAGGACAAUGGGUUCCUAUUCCGAAAGGAGGAGGCAAUCCCCAAACCUUACCCCAGUUAUGAUUGAGGGCUGAAACUCGCCCUCAUGAAUAUGGAAUCCCUAGUAACCGCGUGUCAUCAUCGCGCGGUGAAUACGUCCCUGCUCC